rnacentral:misc_RNA from 1 species
GAUGAAGAACGCAGCGAAAUGCGAUAAGUAAUGUGAAUUGCAGAAUUCAGUGAAUCAUCGUAUCUUUGAACGCACCUUGCGCCCUUUGGCUAUUCCGAAGGGCAUGCCUGUUUGAGUAUCAUGAACACCUCAACUCUCAUGGCUUGCCAUGAUGAGCUUGGACUUUUGGGGGUCUUGCUGGCCUGUGGUCAGCUCCUCUCAAAUGAAUCAGCCUGCCAGUGUUUGGUGGCAUCACAGGUGUGAUAACUAUCUACGCUUGUGGUUUUCCACCAGGUAACCUUCAGUGAUGAAGGUUCGCUGGGGCUCAUAAACGUCUCUCCUCAGUGAGGACAGCUCUUUGAACGUUUGAUCUCAAAUCAGGUAGGACUACCCGCUGAACUUAAGCAUAUCAAUAAGCGGAGGA